rnacentral:lncRNA from 1 species
AGAUGACCAAAUAAAAAAACAGCACCACUGGAAAAUGUUGUGGGCCAGAAAACAGUUUUGUUCCCCGAUUUAUGCUGAGCUGUAAUUGUAAAAUUUGUUUCUGAAAUUUGGAUACAAGAAAAUUCAGGAUCUUAGCUAAAUUUUGGCUUUGGAAUCACCUAAAACGCAUGCACCAUUUUUUUUUAAUAAUUUUUGCAAAUUUGGUGUGCAGUUAGGCCAGCUGUGACGCUCAAGAUUCGCACUCUGAUUUUGUGAGAUUUAUCAUUUUUUUUCUGUUGCUCCUUUUGACCUCAUUCUUUUUUUGUCUUUUCUAUAACACCUUAAACUUGCAUUUUCCAGAAAUUCAGAAUUUUCCUAUGGGUAGAAAAAUUUUGUUAAACAAAACAGCCCAGAACAGAGAGGUGUUACAGGGGAAAUCUGGAAAACUGGAAGAAAACAGCAAGAUAACCAAAAUUAACACAAUGGAAAUGUGAGAAUGGAAAUUGUGUAUGAACUAAGACACAAUUAUGAACUCAAACUAAAAAUAAAAAGCACCAAAGGAUCAAAAUAACAGCAGAAUAAAGCAAUAUAAAGAGACCCAAAACAAGAAACAAUCAAGCCAAAAAAUAGGACUACUAAGAAUUGAUGACAAUAUGGAUGAACAUGACUUGACAAAAC